GGAAUCCAAGAGUCUUAAAGGGCACCAUCCCUUUUUUGCCAUGGUGAGGAGGGGGAGAAUUCACCUUCCUAGAAGGACAUUGCGUUUGCACGAUGGUUACUGAAACAUGAAAGGAAUGACAUCUUCCAGCGACUUCACCUUGCUUGAAUGGAUGGCCCGGCUCCUCGUCAUGCAGGGAGGGAACAAUGCUCUCUCCAAAGCACCACUGGAUCCAGGCCAGGCCUCCCAUCCUCUUCACCCUGCUGCCAAGACUGGGGUGCCUGAGACCAUGCAGCCCCUGCAAGUGGUAUAAUUGGCAUCGUCUGAAGCCACUUUACAGAAACCAAGACCGGAACUCUCCAAGACCUAGCCAAAGUGAUUUUGGCAAGACAACUCAAUUUCAACACAAUCUUUUGUACCAAGAUCCAGAGGGAAUGUAUAGAGGCUAAGGCUAAGGCUAAGGCUAAGGCUAGGGCUAGGGCUAAGGCUAAGGCUAAGGCUAAGGCUAAGGCUAGGGCUAACUUGGAUGUACAGUGAUUAGAAAAAGGUGGGAGAAGGGGAGGAUGAAAAACAAGGAAAGACAAAGAGCUGAACAGAGGGAUUCAGUAAUGAGUUUACAGGUUUGGGAACAGGACGUGGUGUAGACAUGGACAUCAUGAAGAAUGGAUGAAAUGUAAAGUAUCAUGGACUAUGCUUUAUAUCCCUUGAAAAAGUGACUAAAAAGACAGAUUCUUCAGUUGUUGUUGUUAGAGUAAGGUUAAUUUCGUCUCUGUUAAAUCUGACAUUGAAAGAACCAACAAUUCUGCGUCAUGACACAAAAGCCUUGCAUUUGUAUUGUGUACAUUGAUCAGCAAUAAACAUCACAGUCAUUUGUUGUGAU
rnacentral:lncRNA from 1 species